CUCAAAAGUGUUGAAUGUGUUCGUCUACUAACAUUACAUCAUAAUGCCUUCCCUGUUGACACCAAUGUUGGCCGGAUAUGUGUAAGGCUGGGAUGGGUGCCCAUUCAACCUCUUCCUGAAUCUCUACAAUUACAUCUCCUCGAGCUAGAGGGCUAAAGAGUUGGAUAAGAUGGGCCGGUCUAUUUGUAUUCCAGUAAAGGCUG